rnacentral:lncRNA from 1 species
UUAGGAUUUUUUCUCAUUUUUCUUCCAAAAGAACACAUACUUCUCAUUUUUCUUUCUAAAUUACUCUUUUUAUUUUCUAAUUAAAAUUAUGAUAAUUAAUCCCUUUUAUUCCCAUUAAUUCCCCUUAAUAAUAUUCAGAUUUUUUUUUAUUUCUUUGACUUCCUCCACUAACUUUUACUUUUCCAAUUACCUUUUUUCACUAACUCUACUUAAACUUUAGUUUUUCUAAUUAAUUGUCAUAAUUCUCAUCCUUGAUAUUAAC